GAUGAACGCUGGCGGCGUGCCUAAUACAUGCAAGUCGAGCGAACAGACGAGGAGCUUGCUCCUCUGACGUUAGCGGCGGACGGGUGAGUAACACGUGGAUAACCUACCUAUAAGACUGGGAUAACUUCGGGAAACCGGAUCUAAUACCGGAUAAUAUAUUGAACCGCAUGGUUCAAUAGUGAAAGACGGUUUUGCUGUCACUUAUAGAUGGAUCCGCGCCGCAUUAGCUAGUUUGUAAGGUAACGGCUUACCAAGGCGACGAUGCGUAGCCGACCUGAGAGGGUGGUCGCCCACACUGGAACUGAGACACGGUCCAGACUCCUACGGUAGGACGCAGUAGGGAAUCUUACGCAAUGGGCGAAAGCCUGACGGAGCAACGCCGCGUGAGUGAUGAAGGUCUUCGGAUCGUAAAACUCUGUUAUUAGUGAAGAACAAAUGUGUAAGUAACUAUGCACGUCUUGACGGUACCUAAUCAGAAAGCCACGGCUAACUACGUG
rnacentral:rRNA from 1 species